UACGUAGGGUGCAAGCGUUAAUCGGAAUUACUGGGCGUAAAGCGUGCGCAGGCGGUUUUGUAAGUCUGUCGUGAAAGCCCCGGGCUCAACCUGGGAAUUGCGAUGGAGACUGCAAGGCUUGAAUCUGGCAGAGGGGGGUAGAAUUCCACGUGUAGCAGUGAAAUGCGUAGAGAUGUGGAGGAACACCGAUGGCGAAGGCAGCCCCCUGGGUCAAGAUUGACGCUCAUGCACGAAAGCGUGGGGAGCAAACCGG
rnacentral:rRNA from 1 species